rnacentral:misc_RNA from 1 species
AACGCACAUUGCGCCCGCCAGUAUUCUGGCGGGCAUGCCUGUCCGAGCGUCAUUUCAACCCUCGAACCCCUCCGGGGGAUCGGCGUUGGGGAUCGGGACCCCUCACCGGGUGCCGGCCCUGAAAUACAGUGGCGGUCUCGCCGCAGCCUCUCCUGCGCAGUAGUUUGCACAACUCGCACCGGGAGCGCGGCGCGUCCACGUCCGUAAAACACCCAACUUCUGAAAUGUUGACCUCGGAUCAGGUAGGAAUACCCGCUGAACUUAA